rnacentral:lncRNA from 1 species
UACCUUCUGCUCUAUUCCAGGAACUUUGAGAACUUUCUUAUUAACCUCUCUCUUACUGCAAAAACAUAAGAAAAAUAAAACAUUUAGCCACUGGUUAUAGGCUUAUAGCAGAUACUGAUAAGCAGGAACACAAAAAGAGGGAACUAUGAAACUAUUAAAUCCAAUUGCAUAGCUUUCAAAGGAUUCACUGGAAUUCCAUAUGUUCUGUACCCAACCAGGCGACAAACCAUUAAACCCAAUUCCAAGUUCAAUAACCUACACUGAACUGCCUCCUCAUUUCCCUCAUUAUUUGUAAUUAGUUCUCACCUCCCUUUUCUUCCUAAUAAAAGGCCGAACCAGCAAGUGUCCUCUUUUCAUUACAAUAUGAGAAGACUAGAUAAUAAUUUUUCUUUUGUUUUUCAAGAAUGCUGGAAGCAGUCAUGGCACAACCAUAAAACCAACCAUAUUAAGUAAAUUCAGUGCCUAACAUCCUACAUGUAGUAAGUUGCACUCAGUUAAUACAUAACAAACCACUGGCCUCUAAUUCCCC